rnacentral:rRNA from 1 species
GACGUAGGGCGCGAGCGUUGUCCGGAUUUAUUGGGCGUAAAGAGCUCGUAGGCGGCUUGUUGCGUCGACUGUGAAAACCCGCGGCUUAACUGCGGGCUUGCAGUUGAUACGGGCAGGCUAGAGUUCGGUAGGGGAGACUGGAAUUCCUGGUGUAGCGGUGAAAUGCGCAGAUAUCAGGAGGAACACCGGUGGCGAAGGCGGUUCUCUGGGCCUGUACUGACGCUGAGGAACGAAAGCGUGGGGAGCGAACAGGG